UACCCGCAGCACAAGUGGUGGUCAUUAUUAUUGGGCCUAAAGCGUCCGUAGCUGGCCUGUUAGAUGCCUGGGGAAAUCGAUGCGCUCAACGUAUCGAACUCCGGGUAGACCGGCAGGCUUGGGACCGGGAGAGGCGUGAGCUACUCGGGGGGUAGGGGUAAAAUCCUGUAAUCCUCCGGGGAGGACCAGUGGCGAAGGCGUCACGCUAGAACGGCUCCGACAGUGAGGGACGAAGCCCUGGGGCGCAAACCGG
rnacentral:rRNA from 1 species